rnacentral:lncRNA from 1 species
GGAUCAAAAUACAACUCCUACACCCCUUUGAUGGUCCAGGGAAAACUAGAACAAAAGCUGUGAGUGAUUUAAAAUUCAUCUCUCCUGUUCAAAUGGGAAAAAGAAGCAAACACUAAAUACAUGGUAGAUCACAUGCAUAUGAGGAUCCCGAAGGAGGAGGAAAGGGUAAUUGCAUGUCCUUGUUAGCUUUUUUGACUGUUAGAACCUAACCAUGAAGUAAGAAUUAAGAUCUUGAGUGCAUAUCAAAAUUCCCUCUUAAGUCAUAAAAUCCACAGGUUAAGGACAUGGGGCCUAUUCCCUUAAAUCAUCUCUGCAACUAAGAAGUCAGUAAAAUCCUCCAAUGCAUAAUGUAAACCAUUUAGAUUUGCAUAAUUGCUAUUAAAACAGGUAGCAUUGCAACAGAAAAGGAUGUUUUAAUAGCCGUAUUGAACUCUGUUAAGAUAUCAUAAAGUUUUUUUCAUGUUCGAACAUCAGGUCCACAUUAGCGGAUGAGGUUUGUUGAAAAUCAAUAUAGCCAAAAUCAAUACAUUUAGCAGGCUUUAUAUGAAUGUUCAACUUUGUGAUUAGUAGAUGCUAGUUAGUCAAAGGGACGCCAAAUGUUUCCAAUUCAAGAUGCUAUCUCUUUUGCAAUUGAUAACUGUUAUUUGAUUCAAAGGCGAGCUGUAAAACAUAGCACAGUCUCCCACUAAUCGGUAAAUCUUAUUCAUGACUGUUGGCAGAACAUCUGGUGAAAAAGUUCUGCUUCUCCAAAGAAUAUUCAUUCUUUUCCUGCUGAGAACUACACUGGGGAUAUAUUUUAAUGAUUCUUGUUCUUUGUUAACUGGAGAAAUUGCUCGUGAACAGUUCAAACAAUCAAAGAAUUUAAGAACAUCUUUAGUCACGAGGAAGCACUUGUCUGUAGAAGAUAAUUGUGGAAGACAGUGACUGAGAUCUUAAGGAAUGCAGGUGGUGCUUGUUCAUAGAAAAAAACUAUGAAUACUAACUACGAAGGGAGAAAAUAAUUGUACCUUCUUUCCAAGUCAAAUGUUUUUGAGUUUUUUAAAACUUGUUACCUGAUUGAUGGUGAUAGGAAGAGGUUUGAACGGUAUCAGGAGUUUCUUUUUGUAUUUGAAGUCUAGAAGAAGAAAGUGAAAUGGAAGAACAUGGAUGGAAAAUUUUACAGGGGUGAGAAGUAAGUAAAAGAACAUAUGUAAGACCGAUCAUGUAAAAUUUUCUUUUAUUGAAGAUGCUAAUGUGCGUCAAAUUCUUUAAAUUUUUUUUUAAGCGAACUAUUGCGUAAAGUUAUGAGAUUUUGUAUAUAUACCCUAUAAAUAUGGCGUAUUGCAUCUCAUCGCUAUUUAAAUAUAUACCCCUCAAUCAUCAU